rnacentral:lncRNA from 10 species
AGAAGCAGCUGCAGCUGGGCCUGGAGGCAGUGGCUCUACAGCAGCAGUGAGAGCCGAGCUGUGGCAGACACAUGCUCUUCCCCUGACUCACGGCUGCCCAGUUCCCUCCAGCGAGGCUGCUGACCUAUUUUUCUAUUAGGAACAACCAGCCAAUGUGAUAAUGAGGAAAAUGUAUUCUGGCCCCUAUGAAGUUUAGUGAAGCCCGAAUGAAGUGGAGGAGGCCACGGAGAUGCACGAGGAAGAGCAUUCCAGGCAGAGGGAACAGCGAGGACAAAAGCCCCCGGGCAGGAAUGGGUGUGCAAGCCUGAGAUCCAACAUGGCGGAGAGCAAGCCGGAAGUGCUGCGCGGGGAUCCUAAGGGAGCACUGAACAGGACAAGCUCAGUUUUGUCCCUCAAACCUCCACAAUCAGCUAUUUUACAUAAGGAAAGUGGGUGGUGAUUAACCUCAGAGUCUCCAGGGACAGACUAUCCAGGACUGUGCCUGAAAUAGAAGAGGAAUUAACAUCAUACAGAACUGAAUACGGUGACUGAGGGGAGUUUGUGUCUCCCCUUUUAGGAAAGAAGAUGAGAAUAAGUUGAAUUAUCACAAUUUCCUGAUAAGCAGAGUCCAGCUUCCUAAUUCAAACUCUCAAACUCAUUGUUAAAUAAGCCCAGAGGAGUUGGACAUUUUCCAUCACGCAUGUGGGAAGAAAGAAGGCCAACGAUGCUCUUCAGAUUUAACAAGUAAACCUUAAAAGUAUCUGUUAAGAAUACAGAGAUGCCCAUGACAACACUAUCACCAGAGCAACAACUAUCAACUAAGGUAACCAUGUAGAAAUAAUGUCCUUUUUGUAGGUCUUCUUUUCUUCCUUUUUCUUUUUCUUCUUUUCCUUUUUUUUUGGUGCAAGACAUGGCAACAAUUUCUAAAGUCUAUGUUUACAUUAUACUUGCAAGAAAAGGCUUAUUUUAAUCACAGCACAAGUGGGUAACUGUUACAGAUAUUCACAUGACUCUGCACUUCCCAUUUGACAGCAGAGGGCAGGAUUGUGGUGGCCGCUCUCAAGUUACCAUCAUCACAAAUCAGCUUAUUUAAAACAGUUUAUUAUGAUUAUAAAUAAUCUAAAAUAUUUUAUUUAAAAUAGAUUAUUUAGAAUAAAUUAUUUUAAAUACUUUGUGAUGUAGAACAUUCUCUCUGGCCGGGUGUGGUGGUUCAUGCCUAUAAUCCCAGCACUUUGGGAGGCCAAGAUGGGAGGAUUGCUUGAGCCCAGGAGUUUGAGACCAGCCUAAACAACAUAGCGAGACUCCGUCUCUACUAAAAAUACAUAAAUGAGCUGGGUGUAGUAGCUUGCAUCUGUAGCCCCAGCUACUCAGGAGGCUGAGGUGGGAGGAUCACUCAAGCCCAGGAGGUUGAGGCUGCAGGGCUGUGAUCGCACCACUGCAUUCCAGCCUGGGUGACAGAAUGAGACUGUCUCAAAAAAAAAAAAA